rnacentral:rRNA from 1 species
UACAGAGGGUGCGAGCGUUAAUCGGAAUUACUGGGCGUAAAGCGCGCGUAGGCGGCUUUGCAAGUCGGGUGUGAAAUCCCCAGGCUUAACCUGGGAAUGGCAUUUGGGACUGCAAGGCUUGAGUGCGGCAGAGGAGACUGGAAUUCCUGGUGUAGCAGUGAAAUGCGUAGAUAUCAGGAGGAAUACCGAUGGCGAAGGCAGGUCUCUGGGCUGACACUGACGCUCAUGCACGAAAGCGUGGGGAGCAAACAGG